AAAGUUAGAGGUUCGAAGGCGAUCAGAUACCGCCCUAGUUCUAACCAUAAACGAUGCCAGCCAGCGAUCCGGCUGUGUUCCUCAAAUGACACGCCGGGCAGCUUCCGGGAAACCAAAGCUUUUGGGUUCCGGGGGAAGUAUGGUUGCAAAGCUGAAACUUAAAGGAAUUGACGGAAGGGCACCACCAGGAAUGGAGCCUGCGGCUCAAUUUGACUCAACACGGGAAAACUUACCCGGCCCGGACACAGGAAGGAUUGACAGAUUAAGAGCUCUUUCUUGAUUCUGUGGGUUGUGGUGCAUGGCCGUUCUUAGUUGGUGGAGCGAUUUGUCUGGUUAAUUCCGAUAACGAACGAGACUCUAGCCUACUAAAUAGACGUUCCGAUCCUCUGCGUCGGACGUUCUUCUUAGAGGGACAAGCGGCGUUUAGCCGCACGAGACAGAGCAAUAACAGGUCUGUGAUGCCCUUAGAUGUCCGGGGCCGCACGCGCGCUACAUUGAAGGAAUCAGCGUGUGCUUUCCCUGUCCGACAGGACUGGGUAAUCCGUUGAACCUCCUUCGUGCUGGGGAUUGGARMUUGCAACUGCUUCCAUGAACGAGGAAUUCCCAGUAAGCGUGAGUCAUUAACUCAUGUUGAUUACGUCCCUGCCCUUUGUCCACACCGCCCGUCGCUACUACCGAUUGAAUGAUUUAGUGAGGUCUUCGGACUGGCGCUCGGGUCGCGAUCUUCCGGGUCGUACCGGCGUGCCGGAAAGAAGACCAAACUUGAUCAUU
rnacentral:rRNA from 1 species